UUAUGGUUUUAAAAACGAUUCACUAAAAGAUUGAAUCUUUUGUUUCUUAUUUUCUUCCACGCAACAAACCCCUCUCCUCCCUUCCUUUUCUUUCUUGGAGUUCUCCUUGUACCGGUCAACCCUCUGCUGUAUUGAUUUUUUGUGGAAUAAUCCUUAGUGGGUGUUGGCCUCUUUUGUUCUUUUGGUGUUAUGGAGCUGCUCGUUGGUGCGUCGGAGGAUCGCAAUUAAGUUUCCUUGAUCAAAUUGCUGCAUCUUGUUGCUUGUUGCCAGCUGGUUCUUCUAAGGAAAGAUUGUGGCUUUUCUCCAACUUAUGAUUUGCAGAAUUUUGCAAUAAGCAUUUGGGUUUUUGGGAUGGACCGGUUGUUUUUCCCUGCCAUCAAGAUUUAUAAAUGAUGUUCCGUGGGC